rnacentral:rRNA from 1 species
GAUGAACGCUAGCGACAGGCCUAACACAUGCAAGUCGAGGGGCAGCAUAAAGGUAGCAAUACUUUGGUGGCGACCGGCGCACGGGUGAGUAACACGUAUGCAAUCUACCUAUUACACGGGGAUAAUCCGGCGAAAGUCGGUCUAAUACCCGAUGGUAUUAUUAAUCCGCAUGGAUAUAUAAUUAAAGAUUUAUUGGUAAUAGAUGAGCAUGCACAACAUUAGCUUGUUGGUAAGGUAACGGCUUACCAAGGCAACGAUGUUUAGGGGUUCUGAGAGGAAGGUCCCCCACACUGGUACUGAGACACGGACCAGACUCCUACGGGAGGCAGCAGUGAGGAAUAUUGGUCAAUGGUCGAGAGACUGAACCAGCCAAGUCGCGUGAAGGAAGAAGGUAUUAUGUAUUGUAAACUUCUUUUGUAAGGGAAUAAAGUGGGUUACGUGUAAUCUAUUGUAUGUACUUUACGAAUAAGGAUCGGCUAACUCCGUGCCAGCAGCCGCGGUAAUACGGAGGAUCCGAGCGUUAUCCGGAUUUAUUGGGUUUAAAGGGUGCGUAGGCGGGAAGAUAAGUCAGUGGUGAAAGUUUGCGGCUCAACCGUAAAAUUGGCCAUUGAAACUGUCUUUCUUGAGUGCAAAUGAGGUAGGCGGAAUGUGUUGUGUAGCGGUGAAAUGCUUAGAUAUGACACAGAACCCCGAUUGCGAAGGCAGCUUACUGGGAUGCAACUGACGCUGAGGCACGAAAGUGUGGGUAUCGAACAGGAUUAGAUACCCUGGUAGUCCACACAGUAAACGAUGAUUACUAAUUGUUUGCGAUAUACGGCAAGUGAUACAGCGAAAGCGUUAAGUAAUCCACCUGGGGAGUACGACCGCAAGGUUGAAACUCAAAGGAAUUGACGGGGGCCCGCACAAGCGGAGGAACAUGUGGUUUAAUUCGAUGAUACGCGAGGAACCUUACCCGGGCUUGAAAUGUAGAGGAAUAUAGUGGAAACAUUAUAGCCAGCAAUGGUCUCUAUGUAGGUGCUGCAUGGUUGUCGUCAGCUCGUGCCGUGAGGUGUCGGCUUAAGUGCCAUAACGAGCGCAACCCUUAUCAUUAGUUACUAGCAGGUUAAGCUGAGGACUCUAAUGAGACUGCCACCGUAAGGUGCGAGGAAGGUGGGGAUGACGUCAAAUCAGCACGGCCCUUACGUCCGGGGCGACACACGUGUUACAAUGGGGGGUACAGAGGGUUGCUACCUAGCGAUAGGAUGCUAAUCUCAUAAAACCUCUCUCAGUUCGGAUCGGAGUCUGCAACUCGACUCCGUGAAGCUGGAUUCGCUAGUAAUCGCGCAUCAGCCAUGGCGCGGUGAAUACGUUCCCGGGCCUUGUACACACCGCCCGUCAAACCAUGGGAGUUUGGGGUACCUGAAGUCUGUCGCCGUAAGGAGCGGCCUAGGGUAAAUCAGAUGACUGGGGUU